rnacentral:rRNA from 1 species
CGCCGCGUGGGGGACGAAGGCUUUCUGAGUUGUAAACCCCUUUCAGCAGGGACGAUUGUGACGGUACCUGCAGAAGAAGCACCGGCCAACUACGUGC